CUUCGGGAGGCAGCACGGGGGGAAUAUUGCACAAUGGGGGGAAGCCUGAUGCAGCCAUGCCGCGUGUAUGAAGAAGGCCUCUCGGGUUGUAAAGUACUUUCAGUUGUGAGGAAAGGGGGUAGCGUUAAUAGCGCUUGCUCUUGACGUUACAUACAGAAUGAAGCACCG
rnacentral:rRNA from 1 species